GACGAACGCUGGCGGCGUGCUUAACACAUGCAAGUCGAACGGAAAGGCCCUGCUUUUGUGGGGUGCUCGAGUGGCGAACGGGUGAGUAACACGUGAGUAACCUGCCCUUGACUGUGGGAUAACUUCAGGAAACUGGGGCUAAUACCGGAUAGGAGCUCCUGCUGCAUGGUGGGGGUUGGAAAGUUUCGGCGGUUGGGGAUGGACUCGCGGCUUAUCAGCUUGUUGGUGGGGUAGCGGCUUACCAAGGCUUUGACGGGUAGCCGGCCUGAGCGGGUGACCGGCCACAUUGGGCCUGAGCUCCGGCCCAGACUCCUCCGGGCGGCAGCAGUGGGGGAUAUUGCACAAUGGGCGGAAGCCUGAUGCAGCAACGCCGCGUGCGGGAUGACGGCCUUCGGGUUGUAAACCGCUUUCGCCUGUGACGAAGCGUGAGUGACGGUAAUGGGUAAAGAAGCACCGGCUAACUACGUG
rnacentral:rRNA from 1 species